rnacentral:rRNA from 1 species
UACGUAGGGUCCGAGCGUUGUCCGGAGUUACUGGGCGUAAAGGGCGCGUAGGCGGCCUGAUAAGUAGGGGGUGAAAUCUUGCGGCUCAACCGCAAGGCUGCCUUCUAAACUGUCAGGCUGGAGCACGGUAGAGGCAGAUGGAAUUCCCGGUGUAGCGGUGGAAUGCGUAGAGAUCGGGAAGAACACCAGUGGCGAAGGCGGUCUGCUGGGCCGUUGCUGACGCUGAGGCGCGACAGCGUGGGGAGCAAACAGG